CAGUCGCCGCGGGAAUACGUAGGUCCCGAGCGUUGUCCGGAUUUAUUGGGCGUAAAGCGAGCGCAGGCGGUUAGAUAAGUCUGAAGUUAAAGGCUGUGGCUUAACCAUAGUACGCUUUGGAAACUGUUUAACUUGAGUGCAAGAGGGGAGAGUGGAAUUCCAUGUGUAGCGGUGAAAUGCGUAGAUAUAUGGAGGAACACCGGUGGCGAAAGCGGCUCUCUGGCUUGUAACUGACGCUGAGGCUCGAAAACGUGGGGCGCAAACAUGAUUAGAGACCCGAGUAGUCCCUGUCUCUUAUACA
rnacentral:rRNA from 1 species